rnacentral:rRNA from 1 species
GACGAACGCUGGCGGCGUGCUUAACACAUGCAAGUCGAGCGGUAAGGCCCUUUCGGGGGUACACGAGCGGCGAACGGGUGAGUAACACGUGGGUGACCUGCCCUCAGCUCUGGGAUAAGCCUGGGAAACCGGGCCUAAUACCGGAUAUGACUCCAUGACGCAUGUUGUGGGGUGGAAAGCCUUGUGCGGCUGAGGAUGGGCCCGCGGCCUAUCAGCUUGUUGGUGGGGUGAUGGCUCACCAAGGCGACGAUCAGUAGCUGGUCUGAGAGGAUGAUCAGCCACAUUGGGACUGAGACACGGCCCAAACUCCUACGGGAGGCAGCAGUGGGGAAUAUUGGACAAUGGGCGAAAGCCUGAUCCAGCCAUGCCGCGUGAGUGAUGAAGGCCUUAGGGUUGUAAAGCUCUUUUACCCGGGAAGAUAAUGACGGUACCGGGAGAAUAAGCCCGGCUAAC